rnacentral:rRNA from 1 species
AACAAGGAUUCCCCUAGUAACGGCGAGUGAAGAGGGAACAGCUCAAAUUUAAAAUCUGGCGGUCUUUGGCCGUCCGAAUUGUAAUUUAGAGAGGCGUUUUCUGUGSUGGACCACGCGAAAGUCCCCUGGAAUGGGGCGUCAGAGAGGGUGAGAAUCCCGUUCUUGGCGUGGACUACCAGUGCUAUGUGAUGCGCCCUCGAAGAGUCGAGUUGUUUGGGAAUGCAGCUCAAAAUGGGUGGUAAAUUCCAUCUAAAGCUAAAUAUUGGCGAGAGACCGAUAGCGAACAAGUACCGUGAGGGAAAGAUGAAAAGAACUUUGGAAAGAGAGUUAAACAGUACGUGAAAUUGCUGAAAGGGAAACGCUUAAAGUCAGUCACUUCGCUUUGACUUCAGCCUGGCAUUCGUGCUUGGUGUACUGUCUUUGUGAGGGGUCAACAUCACUUUUGAGCGUCGGAAAAGGUUGUGAGGAAUGUGGCACCUUCGGGUGUGUUAUAGCCUUGCUUCWUAWWACGGCGCUUGGGAGUGAGGACCGC